UUUAAGGUCUAACCUGCCCAAUGAUUAUUUAAAUGGCCGCAGUAUUUUGACUGUGCAAAGGUAGCAUAAUUAUUAGUUUCUUAAUUGGAAGCUUGUAUGAAAGGUUGGACGAGAUAACAACUGUCUUUAUUUAAUUAAUAUAGAAUUUAACUUUUAAGUUAAAAGGCUUAAAUUUAAUUAAAAGACGAGAAGACCCUAUAGAUCUUUAUUUUUGAAUUGAUUUAUUUAGUUAGGAUUAUUUAAAAAUUAAUUAAUUUAAAAAUUUUAUUGGGGUAAUAUGGAGAUUAAUUGAAUUCUUUAUUUUAAAAACAUUUAUUUAUGAAAAAUUGAUCCAGUUUUAUUGAUUAUAAGAUUAAGUUACCUUAGGGAUAACAGCGUAAUUUUUUUGGAGAGUUCUUAUCGAUAAAAAAGUUUGCGACCUCGAUGUUGGAUUAAAAAUUAUUUUGGGUGAAGAAGUUCAAAAAUUUAGUCUGUUCGACUAUUAAAUUUUUACAUGAUCUGAGUUCAGACCGGCGUAAGCCAGGUCGGUUUCUAUCUUUAGUUUUAUUUAAAUAUUUUAGUACGAAAGGACCAAGUAUUUUAUAUAUUAAUAUUUAUAUUUUGAAUUUUAUUAUUAUCUUGGCAGAUUUAAGUGCAGUAAAUUUAGAAUUUAUAAAUGUAAUUAUUUAUUACAGAUAAUACUUGUUUUUAGGUGAUUUAAUUAUUAGAUUUUUAUGCUUAUUAAUUUUAUUAAUUUGUGUUUUGGUGGGAGUUGCAUUUUUGACAUUAUUGGAGCGUAAGGUUUUAGGAUAUAUUCAAAUUCGU
rnacentral:rRNA from 1 species